UACGUAGGGUGCAAGCGUUGUCCGGAAUUAUUGGGCGUAAAGAGCUCGUAGGCGGUUUGUCGCGUCGGCUGUGAAAACCCGGAGCUCAACUCCGGGCCUGCAGUCGAUACGGGCAGACUGGAGUUCGGCAGGGGAGACUGGAAUUCCUGGUGUAGCGGUGAAAUGCGCAGAUAUCAGGAGGAACACCGGUGGCGAAGGCGGGUCUCUGGGCCGAUACUGACGCUGAGGAGCGAAAGCGUGGGGAGCGAACAGG
rnacentral:rRNA from 1 species